ACCUACGGGGGGCAGCAGUGGGGAAUAUUGGGCAAUGGGCGCAAGCCUGACCCAGCAACGCCGCGUGAAGGAAGAAGGCUUUCGGGUUGUAAACUUCUUUUGUCAGGGACGAAGCAAGUGACGGUACCUGACGAAUAAGCCACGGCUAACUACGUGCCAGCAGCCGCGGUAAUACGUAGGAUCCGAGCGUUAUCCGGAUUUAUUGGGUUUAAAGGGAGCGUAGACGGCUGUGCAAGUCUGAAGUGAAAGGCCGGGGCCCAACCCCGGGAGUGCUUUGGAAACUGUGCGGCUAGAGUGUCGGAGAG
rnacentral:rRNA from 1 species